rnacentral:sRNA from 12 species
GGCCUGAAUCCGAACUGUCACCAUAUGGUGCGCGUGUCCGCCGGGACUAGGAUUCGGACCGUUC